rnacentral:rRNA from 1 species
UAAGGGGAUUAGUGGCGAACGGGUGAGUAAUAUAUCGGAACGUGCCUUGUAAUGGGGGAUAACUAGUCGAAAGAUUAGCUAAUACCGCAUACGCCCUGAGGGGGAAAGUAGGGGAUCUUCGGACCUUACGUUAUAAGAGCGGCCGAUAUCUGAUUAGCUAGUUGGUGGGGUAAUGGCCUACCAAGGCAUCGAUCAGUAGCUGGUCUGAAAGGACGACCAGCCACACUGGAACUGAGACACGGUCCAGACUCCUACGGGAGGCAGCAGUGGGGAAUUUUGGACAAUGGGCGCAAGCCUGAUCCAGCCAUUCCGCGUGAGUGAAGAAGGCCUUCGGGUUGUAAAGCUCUUUCGCAAGGGAAGAAAACUUACAUUCUAAUAAAGUGUGAGGCUGACGGUACCUUGAUAAGAAGCACCGGCUAACUACGUGCCAGCAGCCGCGGUAAUACGUAGGGUGCGAGCGUUAAUCGGAAUUACUGGGCGUAAAGCGUGCGCAGGCGGUUUGGCAAGUCAGAUGUGAAAUCCCCGAGCUCAACUUGGGAACUGCGUUUGAAACUGCCAGACUAGAAUAUGUCAGAGGGGGGUAGAAUUCCACGUGUAGCAGUGAAAUGCGUAGAGAUGUGGAGGAAUACCAAUGGCGAAGGCAGCCCCCUGGGAUAAUAUUGACGCUCAUGCACGAAAGCGUGGGGAGCAAACAGGAUUAGAUACCCUGGUAGUCCACGCCCUAAACGAUGUCUACUAGUUGUUGGUGGAGUAAAAUCCAUGAGUAACGCAGCUAACGCGUGAAGUAGACCGCCUGGGGA